rnacentral:rRNA from 1 species
UUGGCUCAGGAUGAACGCUAGCGGCAGGCUUAAUACAUGCAAGUCGAGGGGCAGCAGCUUUAUAGCAAUAUAGAGGCUGGCGACCGGCAAACGGGUGCGGAACACGUACACAACUUCCUUGAAUAGGGGAUAGCCCAUAGAAAUGUGGAUUAAUACCCCGUAAUAUAGCGGUGUGGCAUCACACUGUUAUUAUAGUUUCGGCGAUUCGAGAUGGGUGUGCGGCUGAUUAGGUAGUUGGCGGGGUAAAGGCCCACCAAGCCUUCGAUCAGUAGCUGAUGUGAGAGCAUGAUCAGCCACACGGGCACUGAGACACGGGCCCGACUCCUACGGGAGGCAGCAGUAAGGAAUAUUGGUCAAUGGACGCAAGUCUGAACCAGCCAUGCCGCGUGAAGGAUGAAGGUCCUCUGGAUUGUAAACUUCUUUUAUAGGGGGCGAAAAAGGUCUUUCUAGACCACUUGACAGUACCCUAUGAAUAAGCACCGGCUAACUCCGUA